rnacentral:rRNA from 1 species
CCCUUAGACGUUCUGGGCCGCACGCGCGCUACACUGAUCGAUUCAACGAGUUUUAUAAUAUUUUUGUUAAAAAUUUAUAUAUCCUUUGUCGGAAGGCAUGGGUAAUCUUUUAAAUGUCGAUCGUGAUGGGGCUAGAUUCUUGCAAUUAUUAAUCUCCAACGAGGAAUUCCUAGUAAACGCAAGUCAUCAGCUUGCAUUGAUUACGUCCCUGCCCUUUGUACACACCGCCCGUCGCUCCUACCGAUUGAAUGGUCCGGUGAAGCGUUUGGACUAUGGUUUUCUGAUGGUCCGCCGUUGGAUUACCGUGGGAAGUUCGUUAAACCUUAUCAUUUAGAGGAAGGAGAAGUCGUAACA